rnacentral:rRNA from 1 species
CCAAUAGCGUAUAUUAACGUUGUUGCAGUUAAAAAGCUCGUAGUUGAAUUUCGGGAUCAAUAUUUCGGUCAUGCCGUUGGUAUGCACUGUUAUCAUUGAUUUCUCACCUUCUAAAGAACCGUGAUGCCAUUAAUUUGGUGUUACGGGGAAUUAGGACUGUUACCUUGAAAAAAUUAGAGUGUUUAAAGCAGGCUCACGCUUGAAUACAUUAGCAUGGAAUAAUGAAAUAGGACAUCCGAUUCUAUUUUGUUGGUUUCUAGGAUCGAUGUAAUGAUUAAUAGGGAUAGUUGGGGGCAUUAGUAUUCAAUUGUCAGAGGUGAAAUUCUUGGAUUUAUUGAAGACUAACUACUGCGAAAGCAUUUGCCAAGGAUGUUUUCAUUAAUCAAGAACGAAAGUUAGGGGAUCGAAGACGAUCAGAUACCGUCGUAGUCUUAACCAUAAACUAUGCCGACUAGGGAUCGGAUGAUGUUAAUUUUUUAAUGACUCAUUCGGCGCCUUACG